CCUACGGGUGGCAGCAGUGGGGGAUAUUGCACAAUGGGGGAAACCCUGAUGCAGCGACGCCGCGUGUAGGAAGACGGUCCUCUGGAUUGUAAACUACUGUCCCCAGGGACGAAAAUGACGGUACCUGGGGAGGAAGCUCCGGCUAACUACGUGCCAGCAGCCGCGGUAAUACGUAGGGAGCGAGCGUUGUCCGGAAUUACUGGGUGUAAAGGGAGCGUAGGCGGGGAUGCAAGUUGGGUGUUAAAUCUACCGGCUCAACUGGUAGUCGCACUCAAAACUGCAGCUCUUGAGUGAGGUAGAGGCAGGCGGAAGUCCUAGUGUAGCGGUGAAAUGCGUAGAUAUUAGGAGGAACACCAGUGGCGAAGGCAGCCUGCUGGGCUGUUACUGACGCUGAGGCUCGAAAGUGUGGGGAGCGAACAGGAUUAGAUACCCUUGUAGUC
rnacentral:rRNA from 1 species